rnacentral:lncRNA from 1 species
UUUUUUUUUUUUUUUUUUUUUUUUUGUUUAAUGUCUGUUUCCAUUCAUGUCCCCUUUGAAGUUACGAUGCCUUUGAUAAAAAAAUACUUUUAAAUAUUAAAAAUAUUUUUAAGGCAUUUGAUAAAUAUCAUUUGAUAAAAUUAGGAGUAGAACUUUUACUAUUGAAAACACUUUUUGCAAAAACUCAAAUUUGAUUCUUUUAAAAUAACUUUUGUAAUUUAAAAAAUAAAACAUUAAUUUUAAUCAUUUUAUCAUAUAUUAGCCACUAAAUAUAAAAAAAUAUAUUUAAACUUUUUUAAAUUAUAUAUUAUUCAAUAAAAUAAAUACUUAUUGAAUUAUAUUUUCAAAUAAUAUACUUAAAAAGUAUUUAAACACAUAAUAAGUAUUUUUAUUAAAAAUUUUAUUUAAAAAAUAUUUUUUUAAUAAGUUACUACGAUCCAAAUGGGCCUCAGUAUUUAUGAGUUUAUCUAAUUUUUGACCUAAAUUAGAGCUGGCAAUUUGUCCCAAGUCCCAAUGGGCUACCCAUGCCCAAAGGAACUUUGGGCGGGAUGGGUAUUAUAAUUUGGUAUUGGGUUUAAGUUGGGACACAUCCCAACUAUACCCAUUAAUGAAUGGGAAAGGAUGGGAAAUACUUGGGUACCCAUUGGGCUCAAAUGGCAAGGGCUCCGUUUGGAUUAGCUAUUUUUGGUAGGUGUUUUUGAAAUAUUUUAUUGUAGCCGUGUAUAUGAAAAAUUUUUACUAUAAAAUUUUUUUGAAAUAUUUGAUAUACUAAUAUGGAUGGGAUGUUUCUUGAGUUAUUGUAUAUUACUGUAACAUUGUAUUUGAAAAACUUAUUUUUUGAAAAAAUAGUCAAUCCAAACGGAGUCUUAGAUUCAAAAAUUAUCUUUAACAAUUUUUAUAGUCAUACCAGCGAAUAUAAUCUAGUAGUCUUCCUAGUCAUUAUCCACAAGAAUUUCCAGCAUUUCAGUUAGUUUAGACCUGUCAUCCUUGGACAAUGAUGAGGAUAAAUAUUCAACAUCCUAAGGACCUUGGCCAUCUUGAUAUAUGUUGGAAUAUGGCUGUAUAUCUAUCUUUUCCUUUAUUUGUUAAUCCAAUUUUUGGUGGGAAUCUUGAGUAUAAAGCACUUGCAUGUUUAUUUAAUAAAACUAAAAGAAAUUUAAUAAAUCAAAAAUAUUAAAAUUAUAUAAAAAAUAAAAAAUGAAUUAAAGGAAAAAAAUAUGUAGAAAAUGAAUUUGGGUAUUGGGCGGGAUGAAUCUAAACCCAUCCCAAAAUGAUCCCGCCCAAGUUAGUCCCAAAACACAUAUGGGUAAGAUUGGACCCAAACCCAUAUGACUCGGUUCCAUCUCAAACCCAAGCAAAUCCCGCCCAUCCCGCCCAUUUUGCCACCUCUAACCUAAAUGAACUAAAAUCAGGCUUUUGCAAUUUUGGCACACGUGCUGUGUUUGUUCUGAAAACAGUACUCAAUCCAUCUUUUCCCAAAACUGCCAAUUUCACCACAUACGACAUUGCUCAUUUACCUUUUUUGUGGUAGGUGUUUUUUUUUUUUAUAUAGAAAUAAAAUAAUUUUAUCAAUGAGAUUGUUGGUUUUUCUCUAGUACCAUUUGCUUGACAGAGUUUCAAGCAAAUUUCCGACUAGAUUGAAAGUUUUCACAAAUUAAGCUAAAUUAUGUGCAAUCUUUCUCUAAAAGUCCAAUUUACUUGACAAUAUGGUUGGUCUGAUAAAAUAAGACUAACAAUAAAUGCAUGCGCCGCAAGUGUAUUAGUAUUCAACCAUUGGGAGAUCUAGGGGAUGAAUGCAUAGUUUUUGGAGAAUUUGUGAAUGAAAUAUGGAUUACUUAAAUUAAAAUAAUUUAUAAAUGAAUUCUAAGUGAUCAAAGCAUUCUCAUAAUAAUGUGAAUUUUUGUUAAAUAAAAAAUGCACUUCAAAACAUAAAAACGUAUAUUUAAGUAAGUGUAGCUACAUAUGUACACAUUUAAUUUGAUAUACAGUGCACUUAUGCAUGCUUAAACAUGUACACGCGAGUACUAAUUCUUCAUAAUGGAUAAUUUUACUUGCAACACAAAUUUCUUUUACAAAUUUAUGAUCAGUAACUUAUGUCUCAUUUAUGAUUUUUUCAAAAUUUAUACCAUGGAUUGUAAUUCUUGAAUUUUUCAUUUUCCCUUUUACAAACACAUUUUCAAAUACGAGAAUCAUCUUAUGUUUGAGCUUCGUUUUAUUUUACAAAGGAAUUUUUUUUUUUUAAGUUUGAAGCAUAGCUCAAAUUUACAACAAAAAAAAAAAGAACGAAAAGCUAUGUCAAGUUGAACUGUGUGUUGACUCAUCUGAGUGAGAAUUGAUGAAAAUUUCUACAAAUCACAAAGUAAUCAUCGUAUAAAUGAUAAAAUGGUGAAUGGAGUUAUUCAAACUUUUACUUUUUUUUCAAAUUAGUACAAGUGAUGCAUAAAGUAUCAUGAUAAAACUAGAAAAAUGUAAGAGGGUGAUGGAUUGAGUAGUAUGAAAGAAUGGAGUGUAAGUGGAAGGUUACAGGUUUGAAACAUCUCACUUAAACUAAAAAAAUAUUAAACAAAUAAAUUUUUUUUAAACUAGGGAAAUUUUAUUUACAUAAGGAUGCAAAUAACAUUUUCUCUAAAAAUAAAGAAACAUUUUUGUUAUUAAUAGGUAAUAAAUGCAUAGAAAACUUAACGAUUCUAAAUUUGCAAAUUUGGACUUGAAAAAAAUCUAGAUUGGAGUUUCAAGUAUACCCAAAUUAAUUUAGGGAAAAAUUGAGGUUUAUAAAAUUUAGGGAUAAAAUUUGACAAUUUCACUGAUCUUCCCUAAAGUUUAUAAAAUUACACUUACCUCCCUUGGUAGAAUUGUGAGCCUAAUUACUUACAUGGAAAAUUACUCAUAUACCAUAAGACAAGACAUUAUGUCUUAUGGAAACUAAUAUCUAAUGAUUGAAUAAUUAGAGCAUCGAUCAAUUAUUAAUAACUGUUGAGAAUUUCUUUAAUAGUGAACAGUGACUUGCAAUUAUAAAACAAGGCCAAUUGAUUUACUAAAUGGCGCUAUUUUGUGAUUGAUAUAACUUAAAAAUUAUUAGAAACCAAUUGUACAUAGUGUGAUAAGAAGGGUUUUGGUUAAAAAAAAUAUAUAGGACAAAAGAAGAUUGUUCAUGAGAAAUUUUUUUUUGAAACUCUUAAAACUGUAACUGUUGUAAAGUAAAGGAGAAAAAAGAGAAAAUAUAAUUUAAAAAUUCUUUUUUUUCCAAAAUCACAAAAUCAAAGUAAUGUUAAGAGCGAUGACUGGUCUAUUUUACCGAAUCUUGUGAUCGUUAGUAUAGUUUUAUUGCUUAUUUGUGUUGUCUAAUGUAUUGAAUGUAAAUAUUUUAAUUAGUGAAAUGCAUGUAUUAAUUGUUUAUGAUUUUUAAUUAUUUUUAUUUUUUUACUAAUACAACUUAUAUAUAUGUACAAGGGAUAAUUAUGGGAUAAAAGUUUCAUUUCUCUCUUUAAAAUACUAUUUUUAACGUUCUUUUUUUUUUAUUUGGACUAAUUUUGUUUCUAAAAUGUUAACCUUAGAGGAGGUUUGUGUAAUUGUACAAACCUCAAGGGUGUCUAGUGAAAUUGUCAGCGAGGUUUCUGAAAUUAUCCGUUUUAAUCAUUUCCGUAGUUGUGUCUUCAUCCGUUUCGAACAGUGGCUCGAAGGCGAACCAACUAUCCUGGCGAACUGGUUAUUUCGAACCCAUUUGGGCCGGAGGUUGAAGGAGACGUUCCAAUCCAGUCAGCUCUGCUAACUUGGUGACAUCAACUUCUCUCUCUAUCUUUCAAAUGUUCAAUAUAUUUUAGGGUUUCAAUUUCAUACAUUCUCGAUGGAUGUUGACAUCGACGUCGACAUAGCCCGGUGGAUUCUCGAAUUCCUCGUCCGGCAACCCCUAGACGACCGCAUUGUUAGCUCCCUGAUUAGCAUUCUUCCUCCCACAAACGAAAAUUCAGGUCUCAAAAAGUCCCUCCUUUUACGACGAAUCGAAUCCGAAAUAUCUGCCGGUUCGGUCUCCGAGAAGAUCCUUGAUAUCCUCGAGCAAAUUGAGGAAUUAGACUUCCAGGACAAGAUUAAGCAACACUCUGACCUAAUCAAGGCCGCCUAUUGCUCGGUGGCUGUGGCUUGUACUGCAAAGUUUCUGAAUGAUAAGGACGUUGAUAGUAAAUUUAGGUAUUUCGAUGCGGUCAGGAGGAUUUGGAGAGGGAGAGUGUGUAAAAUGGAGAACGCGGAGAAGGUGGGUUUGAUUUCGGAGGAACUGAAGAGUUGGAAAGAUGAGCUCGAGGCUGCCGUGUGGGAUGAGAGUAUUUGGGAUAGUGUGUUGCAGAAGAGUAAAGGCCUUGAUGCGGUUGGGGCGGUUAGGCUUUAUGUUCGAGAGGAAAAAGAUGAUAUCGGGCCUUCUUUUCUGGAAUUAGUAGCUGAGGCAUUGAGGGCUGAUGAUAAAUUAAAGGGGAUUCUCGGAUUCAAAGGGACCCAUGGCGGGGCAAUUCAAAGUUCGGGUCCUAGAGAUGCUAAUAGAGGUGAGUUUCGUUGCAUCUGGUUCAUAUGUUUAGCUGGGAUUAGCAAAAAGUUCAGAAGAUGAUGAUUUUUAUGAAUGCUGUAGCUUUAUUUGUCAUUGAAUAUGCAUGAUUUAUUUUUUCCCUUCGGUUCGGACUGUAUUGAUUUUAUUAGCAUGUUUAGGUGGUUGUUUCUCAAUUCAUGUAGAAGUGCAGAGAGCAAAUGUUGUUUCCGGGCGGAAGCAUGUUGCUUCUAAACGAAUCCGAGGUGCUCCAUCUGGGAUGUCUAGAGGUGCUAAGAUCAUAGAUGGUGACACUUCUGGAGCUGACAUUUCUGGCAAAACGUUUGAUCUGCCAUCUACUCCUGAAGUGCAUGAAGUGCAGGAAGCUCUUAAGUCAAGUUCGUUGGACCUAAAAGCUGUGGUAAAGGAUCCCCUUCCUGAUGCUUUAAACAUUGCUGAUACCGUGGUUUCUAGCAUUGAAAGAAAAGAUGCAGGUAAGCAGCCUGUGGAAGAAAAUCAUGUUGGAGCAAACCCUUCCAUUGCUGAGAGCUCUGGAGCUGUUCAAGCUAAUGAAGGGACUCUGGGUAAUCAUUGCUCUGAGCAUCAGAAAGAUGCACCAAGACAGAGUUUAAUGGCACGAAGCAGCACUGCUCGUACUUUUGAGGUAAUGUGUUAUUUACAAUUCUGAAUUACUGUUGGAUCUCCUAUAUCUAGCGAAGUAGAUGGCUAUCAAGUUUUUGCCUUCUGAAAAAGGAUACACUCCAAAAUUUCGUUAUCUAGUGGUUUAGAUUUUUUUGGGUUCUGGUCUGAUAUAUUUUAGGUUCCAAGUUGUAUCUUUCUGGCUAUACAUUUUGACUUUGUUUCGAGGUUUGUGCAAUUUUGUCAUAGUUAUGACGUAUGAGCUUGGUUCUUACUCUUCUAAAGUAAUUAGGGGUUUAAUAACUUCAUGAGACAUAAUCUAAAGGGAUGAAAGAUUGGCAUUCUGCAUUCAUUACAUGCCUAUCAAUUUUAUAAUGAUCAUUAUAAAACUUAGUUAUUUGGGAUGCCACUGAACUUGGCAUCUUCUUUAUGUACUGAUAAAACUUAAAAUUCCCUUAUACGAGAAGUACUACUUGCCUGCAUGAUCUGUGAUUAUGCUUCUGGUUAGAAACACCUUACCAUUGUUGCUAUUUGAUUCAUUGAUAUGAUUGCAGUGGCUGGCUAUAUGAUUCACUCGGUAUAGAAUUCUCUGUUGUCCUAGUUCCGUGAAUUUUUAUUACUAUUUUAUUUGAUUUAGUGUGAGACCAAGAUCUAUUUCAUACUUUACGGGAUGGAUGGAGUCUGCUAAUUCUCCUAUUCCUAUACUAAGGGCUGCACUUGUAUGUUCAAUAACAAUGGAGCUCGGGAAUGUUGCCUUUGGAGAAAAAUAUGGGCAUUGCAAUCUUUUCUAAUGGUAGUUGUGGGAAGCAAUGAAAGGCUCUGUUUGAGACGAUUAAAGAUUGGCUUGGGUUCCUUGAACACUGUAAUAGACUGAUAGUUAAUCAAGGAUUGUAAUAGUUGUUUUCUUCUCUCCCAUGUUAGUUCUUGUCCGUCUACUUUUGCCAAUCCAAAUGUUUUCUUCCUUUACUUGUUUUAUCUCAAUCACCUAGUUUGACUGAUAGAAUCAGUGAGAUUAGAUAUGUAUGGGCUUAACAUGUUCUUGUUCACAUCUGUAAUGCAUAGAUUCAUCAUUUAUGAGCUAUGGCGUCGUUUGUUCUUUCUCAAUGGAUUGAACUAGGAGCGUAUAUGAUAACAUGAGCAUAGUUUCUGAUCAGUCAGCUAUUGGAUUUAGUAAGAUACCUGGUUGACUUAAUCACUGCUUUUCACUUAUACUGUUCUCCAAGACUCCAACUAGGAAAUUUGACAGGUUUCUUUUUUUUUUGAGAGUUAUGUAACUUACCUUGAUUAUGCUGCAUAUUCCAAAAACUUGUUUUUUCCUUUCCCUAUUUUUCUGCUAAAUGUUGUUGAUCUUGGAUGUACACAAUAUUGGUUCCAGGUAUGGAACUUUCCUUUGGAUGUGGAAUUUUAUUCUUGUUAAAAAGUCUAAAUUGUUUUUCAGUGGGACGAUUCAGUUGAUGCAUUGGCUGGAGAUUCACCAAAUCCUGGAAAUGGAGUUCAGUUACCUAGCCCAAAGAGAAGGGUAGUUUCUCCUUUGAAGAAAUAUGAAAUCAAUAAUAUGAAGAAAAGGAGAAAAUUUAAGAGAUGGAGUACAUCAGAAGAAGAGACGUUGAGGAUUGGUGUAGAGAAGUAUGUAAAUUAUUGCAUUCAGACAAAGCAUUACAGUUGAUUUCCAUUGUCUUACAUGGCUUACCAUUUUGCUGUGAACAUGAUUUGUUAUUUGGGUACUCAGUGGCGGCGCUUUUCUUCCAAUCUUGUUCAAUCACAUCCUACUUGCGCUAGAGUGAUAUAGGACACAUGGUUAUGUCAGACUUGCUCAAGUUCUAAAACAAUAUAUUUGUACUGACCUUGUUGCAGGUAUGGAAGAGGAAACUGGAAAGUUAUUUUGAAUGCAUAUCGUGAUGUAUUUGACGAGAGAACCGAGGUAAAUGUUCUGCAAAAUUAAUCUUCUUGGCACUUGGCUUUUAAUGUAUAUUAAUUACCACUGAUUAUUGUCUCUAGGUUGAUUUGAAGGACAAGUGGCGAAACCUAACACGCUAAUGCUAGCUUUUGAAGGAACUGAUUUGCUGUUUGUUUUAGCCACAGAUAUGUGCUUUGUAUAGCUUUUGUCUUUUCAUAUCCCUGUUUUCUCCAUCUGCUGUUUUGAGACAUGGCAAACCAGUUCACUGGCUUCUAGCUCAGCGUAGUACUAUUUUGGAGGAGCAAUGGAUUUUUGUAUGCUUUUGUCUCGUAAUCAAGUGGAUAGUCUUGUAGUCAGGAUUAGGAUAGCAUAAUGAUGUAACCAACAAUAUUAAAAUGAACAUCUAAGUAAUGUCUAUAAGGUUUUUCACCUCUAUCUUUUUUCCUUGAUUUUUGUGUGAUUGUUUGUUAUUUAAGCGCCUUUAGCCUUUUCUGCUACUCUUGCCUCAAACCACAUGUUUCUUAUUGCUCGUCUACACAACUGGGCGCUGAUAUCUUCUCUUUAAACGCAUGCUUCUGACCGAUGAGGGAUUAUUAACUUCCUACUUGCCUGCCUGUCCAACUCUCUGUCUAAUAGGAAAUGGUGUCGCCCUUAGUUCUUUAGUUCAAAAUUACGAUGUGGCAUUUUUACUUGCGCCUGAAUUUUUGCUUGGGAUUAAGGGCCUGUUUGGAAGUCAGGUUUUUAAGCAAGUUUUUUACCUACUAAUUUUUUAAUACUUUUGCUACAGGGAUCCAAAAAACUUUUCUAAAUAUUUUACUUACACACUUCAAAAUACACAACACACAAAAAAAAAUGUUCUUCCCUUUUUUUUCUUCUUCCUCCCCCAUCCCAACUCACCACCACCUCUGUUGCCGACCACUACCUCCGGCGCCGUUUCCUUUUUUUUUUUUUGCCUUACUACCUCUCCCUGACAUCUUCCCCUGCCAUCCUUUCCCUUUAUUCAGUUUGUAUGACCCCUUUUUUUAAAAAAAAAUUUACCUUCCCCAGUCCUCCCCCAUCACCCUUCCCUUUCCCCUUUGGCCGAUCUGGCAGCGAGAGUAGAUCGCAUCGGGGAGGGGGAUUUUUCCACGCACCAAAUUGCGAGGAAGGGGAGGAGAGGGGAAGGCUGAAAAUUCCAAAAAAAAAAAAAAAAAAUUUUGACUGGCUCGUGGAUGAGGUGCACGUUGACUGCUGGGCGAGGGAAGAGAAGAGGGAUGGGGAAAGGCAGAGGGGAGGAGAAGGGGAAAGGGAGGUGAGGGGUGGCGGGAGGUGGCAUUGGAGGAGGUGCUGGUGAUGGAGCCGAUGAUGGUGCUGGAGUUGGAGGAGGUGCAAGUAGUGGUGGUGGUGCUGGUGGUGGCGUUGGAGGAGAUGCUAGUGGAGGAGUAGGUGGAGGUGCUGCUGGAGGAGCUGGUGGUGGUGCUGGUGGUGGCGUUGGAGGAGAUGCUAGUGGAGGAGUAGGUGGAGGUGCUGCUGGAGGAGCAGGUGGUGGUGCAGGAGGUGGGACUGGUGGUGGAGUUGGGGGUGGAGCAGGCAGGAGAGUAGCAGGAGGGGUUGGUGGAGGCAUGGUAGUGGUGUCGGAGGUGGAGCAGGUGGAGGCGUGGGAGGAGGGGCUGGAGGAGGCCUUGGCGGAGGUGCUGGAGGUGGGGCCGGUGACGGAGUAGGGGUGGAGCAGGCUGCGUUGCUGCUGGGAGGCAGAGGUAAUGGGGAAGGGAGAGGGGGAAGGAAGAAGAAUAAGAAAAAGAGAGGAAAGAAAAGAAAAAGGAAGAAAGAAAAAGAAAGAGAAAGAGAAAAAAAAAGUUUUUCAUCUUGCAAAAACUUCUACAAAAAAAUUUUUCACCUUACAAAAAAUUUCUACAAAAUUUUUUCAAAAACUUCUACAGUGCACUACAGUAAAGUUUUAGAUAAACUCCCAAAAAACUCAGGUUCCAAACAGACCCUAAUUUACUCUGUGCUACUCUAACCACGUAUCUUCCUCUGUCCAUUCUCGUUAUUCACCAGUAUAUCUCUGCUACUUUCUAUCUCCAUCGUAUCACAACCCCUUUUUCCCACUUUUUAGCAUUUUCAGUUUCACCCACGACACAAGGCUUCAAAUGCCCAUCGCCCUCAUCCCCCGGACGGAAUCAUCUGUCCAUUAUAUAUGUCUAUUUUUCCAGUCCACUUCCAUUAUAUCUGUCUAUUUUUCAUGUCUAACGCAAAAUUAUGUAGUUCUACUAAAAAAUGGAUAGAUAUAAUGGAUAGAGGAUCCUGUCUGUUCAUCCCCUGCUCGUUAGACAGAUAUUGAGAAAUUUCCUUUUUUCACUUUCAAAGUGAAACUAUGUAAUUUUAUAGAGUUUUAUGCCAAAAUAACACUUUUUCUAAAAAAAUAUUCCCAAUGUGAUUUAUUUUCAAAUUGUAUUCCCAAAUCAAUAUUAUUGUUGCCACCUAAUAUUCCUGAUUGCCAUGUAGGAUAACAAUAAAGGAAAGCUUUAAUCUAGUUUAUAGUUUUCAAUAAAAACUAAAAAUUUAAACUGUUUUAUUAUAGAGGCACAAGAAAAUUACAUAACUUUGAUAAUUUCGUUAUAAUUAUUUAAAAUAAAUUUUACCAUUAUUAACCUUGCUAUUAUUGCUCUUUGCAAUUUUUGUAAAUGUAUCAAGUUUAUUGCAUAUAUUUUUUCAAAAAUAAAUUUGCAAAAUACAAAAAUUGCAAUGAACAUUAUAAGCAAUAACAAGAAAAAGUUACAAAAACUUCAAGACUAUUAUAUUUGUUUAUGUUAUGCUUCCUACUACUUGAAAAGAACUUUUACAAAAAGUAAUCAAACUAUUGCAAUUAAGAUAAUGCUAAAGUUUCUCAAAAGUAACACAAGCCAUUAAUUGAUAUUGAGUAAAUGUGCAAAAAUACUUCAAGUAUACGAAAUUAUUUGAUUAUGUGAUAGAGAGACACUACAAAUGAACAUACUUAUAUUGAGCAUGAAUUUAUGUUGUUACGUAGUUUUCCUCUUAGACAUUUUAUUAAACACACGGUGUGAGAAAUCAUUUGUUAAAACAAUUAGUAUUCAAAAUUUUUUGAAGGGCGUAGGAAUGUUCCAAAAACUGCACAAUAGAAAAGACAAGAGAAUAAUCUUCAUUUACUUUGAAAUAAUCAAUUCGAGGAGAAUAUUUUCAUCUACAGAUACAAUAUCAGGAAUGAUAAUGAAGUUUUAGAUGUUGUUAAUAUUAAUAUUGGCUUUUAACAAUUACACUUGACAAGGAAAAAUAAUGAAAGGAUACAAAAUAAUAAAGGAAAAAAAAGUGGGAAGGUUGAGAGAGAGAAUCAGGGAAUAUAUUAAUUGGGAAAAAGAGAUAGAAUGUGCCUCUAUCUUUAUCCUACCACAUAUGUAACCUAUAUGAAAAAAAAAGAAUUAUAAAAGUAAUAAAUUUUAAAAUUAGGUUACUUUGGGUAUAUGUUUCAAAAGAAGAGUUAUUUUGACAAUAAAAUCUAAUUUUACAUUAGACAAGAAAAAUAAACAGAUAUAAUGGACAGAGAAUUCCGUCUGCUCAUCCUUUGCUCACUAUACAGGUGUUGAGAAAUUUCCUUUUUCCACUUUCAGUUUCAUGCAUGACACAAGGCUUCAAACACCUACCUCUCUCAUCCCCUUCUUAUCGGAUAGAUGUUGAGAAAUUAGGCCCUGUAAUUCUUCCUUUAUAGUCUUCUCCUACAAAAGCCUAUUUUAAUUACUAUUGUUCUGAUGAAAAAAUUGCUAUCAAAGGGGAGAUGAAGAAAGCCAAUUUUAAUUUCAAGUACUAUUGCAGUAAAAAGGUGUUCGGCCUUAAAAAGUGGGACGCGGGACUGGAGCGGUUAUCAGAACAACCGCUCCGAAAGGUGUAACACCAUUUGUACAUGAUGUAACAUCAUCUGUACAAAGUGUAACAAUAGAACAACAGCGAGUAAUACUAGAACAAUAUUUUUGUGAGUCCCACAUGACGUGAAAAUCGAAUUACAAGACGUGAUCUGAGCCGAAUAAAUUUUUGAGACCUUGUCCAAGCCAUGAAAUGCCUGGGACGGUUGUCAGAGACGACCGUCCAGGCCCUCGUCCUAAACAAUGUGGGUGAUCUUCCGUACUCUCUGUUCUGACAAGCCAAUACUAGCUUUUGGCUCAAGAUUGAUUCCUUUCGGAAAUCAAGUGAUUACUGGAGGCCGUGGAGGGUAAAUCGUUUAAAAAAAAAAAAAAAGAGUCGUCUUACGCAAAUACAUGAAGAGUGAAUUAAGUUUGCAUGUCAACGGUGAGAGAGUUAUCUGAAACUGUUUAGCAGCCUUUGUUUAUAAAGUUUAAACAAGACCAGUUACAGAGCCACUCGUUGCGAGGUUUCAACCUCUGAGGCAGCCUAAUCGUCGUCCUAUUAUUCCACUAAGCAUGGACCUCCUAGCGUUGCUAUGGCCAAAAAAGAAAAAAGAAAAAGAAGCUCCACCACCGUCCUGAACACAGAACGGGCAACGACCUUAAAGCCCACAAAGCUAGCUAUCACUGUGCUCAAAGGAUGAGCAGGGCUUGACCGUUUGCUGAUAAUGUCAGCAUCAUCAAAUCUAACACUAACGGCCGAGCACUUCUUGCAUGGCUCAAAAGGUAAUUGUGUGGAUGAGAGAUUUGUACAGUGGCUGUAGUUCGCCAGCGGGGGCAUCUCUCUGUAAUUGCUAGAACAGAGGCUGUGGACUUGCCACGUGCAAAUAGGGAGAUAACGUGCUGGGCUGGCAAUUGUGAAGCAGCGGCUUUUGGUGGGUUGACAUUGAAGUAGGAAACUGCAGAGACUCGGAUUGGCACACGUGGCAGGGGUCGUCCAAUUCCCCUGUGACAGCUUUCAGCCAUUGGAUUUCCAGCUUGAGUGCUGCAUUUUGAGCUGGAGACAACAAAUACAGAAGUGUCUUAAGGAUCGAUAUAUCACGCAUUACUGUAGCAAAGAGAAGCCCUCGAACCGAAAAUCACUUGACUAGUCAUCGUCCCAGUGAAGCAUAAACACAAACUAGAUAUAAUCCAAAUUGGUGGGCAUGAAGUUGGAGAAACACUCGCGGAAGUUCUUGAGCACGAAAUUAAACCAUGAUCAUUUUCUGAUGGGAGACAGAAAAAGAAGAAAAGACACCGAGGGCAGUAGUUAAAUAGGCAGGUGCAUACCAUCGAUCUGCUCGGUUUGACUCUCCAGGGUCUGCAACUGACAUCUUAGUUCUGACUUUUCAGCUACAAGCUCCGUUGUCUCCCUCUGAGAGAGUUGAGAUUUUCAAAAGUCAAAUGGUUGCACAAAACAAAAGGAGAUGCCACUUAAUUAGUACAUUACAUUUCAGCAUGGGGAGAAAGUGAGCGUCGUUUAGGUUGAUUGCGUGACAUGCCCUGCAAAAACAUAUGAAAUGAAUCGAAACAAAGUACAUGCCUGGGUUGUGGUGAGUCGAGUAUUGAGCAAAGCCACCUGCGAAUUAAGCGUCUUCACCUUUUCCUCGAGAUUUACUAUGUAUUGAGCCUUCCUCUCUUUCGACCGGGCUGCCGAAUGUCGAUUUGCCACAAUCCUGGAGUCAACCGCUACGUUUUAUUAACAACAGACUCAGGUCACUUGCUCUAUUUGUGGGCACAGAUAGAAACCUAGCUGCUAACUGUUCAGACAAACAAGUUUUUCAAUCCCGUAGUUUGAUUUGGAGCUCAUUUCUCCCGGAUUUUCAAAACUUAUGUUGGUAUAUUCAAGACAAAAGGCGAGCUUGGUAAUUUUAUCUUUUUAUCAUGUUCACAGGUUGCCAAUUGGAACCUAAUUCACCUCCCAUUACCCUGUAAAAGGAAUAGCAAGUUUCUGACUUGCGAUCAAUUGACACACAACAAAAAGGCUUCAUUCCCAGCUAGCUAAACCCUCCAAAAUACUCCAUGUUCCUAUGCCCAGUCAUCAAUCAUAGAAAGUACUGCUAAAUUUGACUAAGAAGACCCUAAGCAGAGGAGAAAAUAAGAGCAAGAGCAUUGAAUCCUUGUCUUCAAUUUGGAUUUUAGAUUUAACUGACUUUGGUGAUCAUUAAUUAGUUAACAUUUUUUUUUUUGAAAAAAAAAAACUGACGUUGUAUGGUAAAUGUGUGACGUUGUACGGUUGAACCAUGCAACAACGUUAAAAUAAAAGGAUAUGAACCUCUUGGCCCGCUUAGGAUCGAUUGCCCAAAGCUCCGCCAACUCUUCCGGCGCCAUUGCUUUUCUCGGCUCCACAAACCUUUUCUCAUCCACCAAACAACCCUUCAGCCCACGCCGUUGCCGUUGUUUCCUCGGCUGAGUUGUGAUGAUAGCAGUCUUGCUCUUAUCCUUCCUCUUUCGCCUCCCUCGACAACGGCCGCCGCCACAGCUCCCGGCAACAAACCCGCCUCCGUUCUGGAGAACGUCGUGAUUGUCGAGGCCGACGUUGACGUCGUUCUCCUUCUCUUCCAGCUUUUUUACGUCCAUGUAAACUGAGAAAAGAUCAUCGUCAAAGUCAAUGUCGAAAUCAACAAUGACAUUAUCAUCGUCAUUGUCGAAUGUUUUUACAGUUAACUCCGGCGUCCAUGCACAGUCCAGGGAACCUUUGAAAGGAGAGCUGAUCAUGUCGGCGUUGGGUGUUUCCAAGAACAGAAGAAAUGGCGGAGUAUUAGUUGCGGGGUUUGGCUCGUCUGGAUUAGUUGAAUUCAUCAAAGAUAUUUAAACAAAAAUUGAAAAUUCUGAAAAAAAAAAAAAUAAUAGAAUAUUCUGAUGGAGUAGUUUUGGAAGAUUCAACAAUAAAUUAAAUAUGGGAUUUAUUUUGAACAAUAAAUUAAAAAUGAUGGGGUUUAGUAUUGGAAGAUUCAACAAUAAAUUAAAUAUGGGGUUUUGUCCCGGUAAAAUUAGUGCUCCCUGGGCCUUUAUAUAUACUGAGGAAGAAGAAAAAGAUUAAAUUUGCAUUUCUUGGCCUGAAAUUAAAUGUGACGACUUAAAGAUGGCCACUUGUCGUGGUGAAGUAUGGUUUCUAAAUUCAUGGCUGCUAAAAUAUAGCUCACCACCCUAUAUUCCUGUUUAGGUGGAGGUUUUCCUUCGAUCAAGGGGCAUAUUCUUCUUCAAGCUUUUAUCUUCUUCCCAUCUGGCGUCAAGAAUUUCUCUAUUUUCCUCGUUAUCUGCCACGCCAUGCAUGUACUUAUCCACGAACUUUAUUAUCAACUCAAUCGAUCAGGGGAUCCAGGCAAGCCAUGAACCCGUUUGUCAAUUCGCUCCGAAUGCCAAUAACCAGCCAUGAGAAGUGAGUGGAAUUACAAAGAACACAAGGCAUUUGCCUUGCUAUAAUAUAGGAAGACACCCCUAUAAUAAUAAAAAAAAAAUCUAGGAAAAUGAGAAAGUUGUAUUUAGCAAGUUUGUAUCAUACACCAAAAAAUAAUCAGCCAUUUCCAUUAUAUAUCCAUAACAAACUAAUGUAGUUCCACAAUAAUGUGAAAAAUCUAGGAAGCUGCAAAUUUUUUAACUCCUCGUAGGGCACCAAACGAAUCGAGUUGCCCGCGAGCGGCUCGAGUCGAGUUCGAUCAAUAUCGAGCUCGAACUCGAGUUCAAAAUAUUAUGCUCGUUAGCUCGCGAGUCGGGUAUAUAUAUAAUAUUUUUUAUUUUUUUUAUUUUAAGUAUAUAUAUUUUUUAUUUUAAGUAUAUAUAUUUUUAUUUUCUUAUUUUAAUAAUAAAAUUACAUAUAUAUCCUUAAUAUUUUAUUAUUUAUUAAGAAAAAAAUAUUAUUUUAUUUAUUUUUUAAAAAAUAAAAUAUUUAUUUAUUUUUUUUCGAGCUUGAGCUCGAAUCAAAUUGAUUCGAGUCGAGGUCGAGCUUUAAAUUGCCGGUUCAUCAAGCUCAACCUCGAGUUCGAGUUUGGUAAAAUUUAGUCGAGACUCGACUCGAUUUAAUUAACUCAAAACUCGAUUCGACUUGACUCAUUUGCAGUACUACUUCGUCGGACCUUUUCUUAUUACAGUCGUUUGCUCUCAAGUUCACGUCCCUGUAUAAAAUGGUCCAAUGCCGGGACUGAAGAGUGGAGCGAAUAAUUUGAAUAUAAACAAUCCAAAGGUGAAAGAGAAGGCACGAAGCCUCACUGACUCAAAAGUGUACAACAGCAAAAUGUGUUAGCCCAGUAGGCUGCAUGGAGAAUACACAAACUCCACCAAAUUUACUACGAUCAAUAAUACUUUUAGUUAUUUCAAAAUUGGAACUAACCCGCAACCCAAUUUUUCUUUAUUUAAAAAAAAAAAGAAAAUAAAAAUCAAGUCCAUGGUUAUCUGACGGUCAGCAUUUGGAGAAAGAAAAAGAAUUUUUUAAGGACAAGGGAAUGAUGCACAGCCGCACUAGCAAGUCAAGAUUUGGACCAUUUGAUCUUGGUGGAUGAAAUGGUGAAUCGCCAACCUCAACUGUUUUUAUUUUAAGUAAUUAUCUUCAAGAUAUGACAAAUUAGUUGGCAGACUAAAAUCACAUCAACUUUAAAUUAAAUAAGGGAAGAAAAACUUCACUAUUUCCUGUCUUGCCAGAAAAUAUCUACUUUGUCGUGUUGCUUGCAUUCUUAGCCAAUGACACCAUCGGAGAAACUAGAUAUUUCCCCCCCCGCUUCUCAUGCCGCAAAACCGUGCAUGACUGAUAUUGACAAUUCUAUAGGCUGUCCAAGGAUUAUUAGGAAAACAACAUCCACCAUUCCAUCAAAUUGCGUCAUGAUGUAUGCUAAUACAGGAAGUAAGAUGUAGUUGAUCUGUUGUCACAAUUAAUAAUGUUCUUCAGUGGAUGAUUCCUCAGAUACUUCUGUGCAAAUUUGCAGUGCUACAAAGUAGUGGUUUUAGUAUAAACUCCUCCAAGUUAUUGUUGAGUUUAAGGUAAAGAAGCAGUGGUUCCUUUCUCUCCCUACCGAGUAUCUAAUUCCUAGUCCCAAAAUUCAAUUCGACCAUAGCUAUGCUGGACCAAUAUUGAUCGAGUCCCCUGGUCCCGAUUUUCAAUCACAGCAGCAAGAACCCUUUCACUUUCAGUAAUUGAUUCUCUCCUUUCCUUUGCUUCCUUAUCCAUUUGAUCCACUGGAUGCUUUUCCAAAGCUUCUAUCUUGUUGGAAUCCUUCCAACACUUCCUCGUUUUCGCCUAAGCACGCCGUCUCUUCCUUGGCAAUGCGUCUAAUCAUGCAUCCCGGUCACUUGAACCCCAGCUGGCUACUCGCUACUUUGCUUCCUAUCAGCUCACCACCACAUCUUCUUCUUCAUCUAAUUUCCCCCUCAUCCGUCGGAUCUACACAUUCCGACUUUUGUAUGUAAAAUACCUUCACCCAGCCAGCUUCACGGUUUUCUUGCAUUUCAAAAAAAGCAAAAAAAAAAAAUUCACCCUUUCGGAUUCAAUUCAUCUAGUCACUAGCUAUAUCAGGCAUUUUUGCCAGCAUUGAACUAGCAACGACCCAUAUUUAUUAGUUACGCCAAUUAAUGGGAAAUCAACAGAAUCGAUAUCACCUGCCUCGGCACCUCCUCAACGGAUCCGAUGUUGCAACAAUGGCUUUAAUCAACGAGACAAGAAGCAACCCGACUAGUAACGACGCGAAUUUCGACAGCAACAUGGUGAUAAUAUUGGCAGCUUUGCUAUGUGCAUUAAUAUGUGCGCUUGGCCUAAAUUCAAUUGUGCGCUGUGCAUUAAGGUGCAGCCGGAGAUUUGCCUUGGAAACUCCCGAGGGUGUAGCCUCACGUUUGGCCUCAUCGGGUCUAACCAAGGACGCGUUACGUAAAAUCCCGGUGGCUGUUUACAAGUCGGGAAUCAAUAUCGCAGCCACGGAUUGUCCCAUAUGCCUGGGAGAAUUUAGUGAAGGAGAGAAAGUACGGAUUUUGCCCAGAUGCAAUCAUGGUUUCCAUGUCAAGUGCGUGGAUACGUGGCUACUGUCGCAUUCAUCCUGUCCAACUUGUCGGCAGCUGUUGUUUGGACAUCCUACUCCGGCGAAUACUUGAUUAAUGCAAGGUAAUUAAUGACUGCUGAUGAGGUUUUGUGGUUUGUAGAUUUUGCUGCAGAGUAAUUGUUGUUAUCUGGCAAUAGAUGAGGAGGGUACGUAAUCCGUAACUGUUGUUAUGCUCGUAACUAUAGCAGGUUAAUUGGUCUCUGUCAUGAGUAGCAGCGGGAGGUAAUGUCGUUGUUUUGAGAAUCCAAGAGUAUGUCAGUUUACUCUUUAGUUUCGAGUGGCUAUGUAUUAAGUUCACAUGUAUGUAUGCAUGCGCAGAAAUUUACCAACAACAACUGUAAAAAAAAAAAAGAAAAGAAUAGAUGAAGAGACUAACUGGAGCAGUUAGUUAUCUGGUGUUGCUACGUUCUUGCAAUUAUAGACUGCUUAAUUUGUCUAGUCCGCAAAUGCCACACUUCCCUCCGAAAAAAACUCAGAGAAAUACCAUUCCACGUAAGAGGUGAGGUACCUGCAAUUAUGUAUGCGGUGCAUCACCAAUAUGGUAAUAGGACCGCAAAAAUACGAGAAGAAUCUUGGAAGAGUCUCUCAAUCUGAGGGGAGUAGGGGACCAAAUGAAUGAAUGAACAGUGAAGGUCGGAUAUCAAAAGACCAAAUGGCAGCCUGCAGUUAUGAGUUAUGGGGCAGGGAAUUGGCUGGGGAAAAAAAUGCACGUCAAAUAAACUGCUACUGCUACAAAAGACUGGAAAAUAGAGUACUAGUACUAGAAUUGACUGAAAAACAUGAGGGCUUCCUUUAGUUAGUUGUCCGGUUGGCUUCGAGUGGCGGUGAACUAAUGUAACUGCUCUUUCACAGGCUUCACAUAAAUAUUCCAGUUAGGUGAGCCAUAGACUUUUGCCGCCGGGGAGGGGUGGGGGGUGGGGAUCUUGGAAGAUAUUUAAUGUUUUUUAUUUUUGGAUUUUCCUUCACUCUUCUUCGAUUUCUGGUGUGAAAUGAUUGAUGAUUAAGACGAGAGUUGUUAGGACCACAACUGCUCCAAUUAAACAGGCAGAGAGAGAGAGAGAGAGAGAGAGGUAAAUAAAACAUCUUACCAUUCUGGUGAUUGGAAAUUUGAUGCAAUAUCCAUUAGUACCAUGAAUCGCACCACAUUCUGGUGAUUGGAAAUUUGAAGUCACUUGGAGCAAAUUGAUGCGUCAUCCAUGUUAGUUGAACUGCUAGGAGUAGUAUAAAGACACAAGAGGUGCCACUGCUCCUUAAUUUGUUCUACGUACGUAGGUGAGUACUUUAGUUAUUGCAUGUGUGGGCGUACGUGGGACCAUGAGUAUGUAUAUGGACAGUAGUAAACUCUAUUACCGCCAGAUUAAUGAGGGCUUUUUAACUAAUGUCACUGAUACUGAUACGAGUGGAUCAUAGUCAUUCAUGCAUCAAUUUUUCUAGUGCAUGACGCUGUCAAUUCAUUUGUUCGUAAUGAACAAGCACUUAACUCUUUAGUACUAUAAAUUAAGUUUCACGUUACUCGUAUCGUAUCUAAAUGUUUGUUCAUCUAUAUAUGUGUGUCUUUUCCUUUCCCUAGGAAAGGGAUCUAGAAACGAGAAGUUGUUGCGCUCUUAAAUACAAAAGAAAGUGAUGAUGUAUUUGGCAAAAUGAAAAUCAAAGAACAAAACAAUAAUAUAAGUGGUAGUUAAUUGAGUUGGCACAUGGACAAAGCAAAGCAAACAACAACGGCGGAUGCAGGCUAAAACUUGUUGAGUUUUGCCUUGAUACUAAUUGAUAUGGUGGCGUCUAGAAAGGCAAUGGGUGGUUAGUAGGUGAAUAAUAAGGCGAAUAAGGGGAGCCCAUCACAAAUGAAGACUGGGCAUUGCCGACGAAAGAGGCGGGAUUAUUAUUAUUGCUGCCGGCAUGAUGGUUAUUACGGCCUCGAUUGGGAGUUCUUGGAGCUGGACUUCUUGGUGUAGACACCAUCCCACUCCGACUAUAUCGAUUCUCUCCGCUUCCCCUCGGCCCUUUCUCCGCCCACUUUAGCUCUUGUUGUUUAACCAGGCUUGGAUAUCCCAUGCAACAUCCCAUUUGUCCUGCUCUCUCAAUGUACCUGUGUCGAUAUAAUUGAUAAACAAAGACGAAAUAUUAUUCUGCUCUUCUCUGAGUACUGAAAAAUUUUGUAAUCUUGAGCUAGUUUUGACGUUCUCAGGGCAUUUGGGGCUCUUUUUUUGUCGACCGGCUGAUUAAUUACUGUAUCAGGCGGCAAAGGAUAAAUUAAUAAGUAGGGACAAUUGAGCAUUGCCUUCAUACUGUUUAUUAUAAAGCAAAUCAAACGGUUCCUUCUACAAAUUAUCAAGGAAAAAAGCAAAACAUUAUCUGUCGUUUAACUAGUACAUGCUACAUUAUUUUAUGUAACUUCGUGUUCUGUUGAAGCUUCCAACAAACCUCAUCCAUUAAUCUUAUUAUAUUCAUAUGAAUUAACUGCGACUUAGUCCACAUUCCUAAUCAUCAUGCAUAAAAAUAUCUUAGAUUUUUUAUUUUAUGUUUUGUUUCCACUAUCACGACUGAGUCAAAAGUAUGGAGCUUGAGGCAUGCAGUUAGGGAUAAUUUGAUCAUACACUGCCGCCUCACUUUAGUGCAGCAUUUUCUGAGUCCCAUUGAUUCUGCAGGGGUCAUCUCAAGCAAAUUCUAUGUAUAGUACCGACGUUAUAGCUCGUGAGUAAGAGUUGCUGUUGAGAGAGUGAUACCUACAAAUUCGAUUUGAAUUAUAGUAGUUUAGGUCUGUACUGUCAGGAAAUUACUACCCUUUAACCUAAGGUUUAGGUCUACACUGUGCUACCAUCUUUUCUUUCUUGUUAUUUUCUCAAAAAGACCUGGUUGGUCAGUAUUCGAUGUCAGUUAUAGUCGACCCAUCGAUCCAUAUAAGUAGAAAAUUUUGAAGUGUGUACCGGUGACCGAAUCUUCGUCCCAAGCACUCGAUGCACUUUCGGCCUUCUGUCAUUUCUCCCAUGCCAAUAACCACGCACUGCCGGCAAUAGACUCUCCCGCAUACCUGAGUGGAGAAUUUUACAAUAACUCAUGCAUGUCCACGAAAAAAUUGGGAGUAGAAACAGAAGCAUCUAAAAAGACCAAAGAUUGAAAUAACGCGACGUAAUGCAUGUGCAGGCUGAUUAGCUUUAAUUCCUCCAUUAAAACAAAGAUAUCAGGAAACUUGAACCUUAUGAAUAUGCCAUGUGAUCAAAAAAUCAUGUUCAUUCAUCUAUUAUUUCUCUCACUUCAAACCUAAGCUUUUAUCUUUGUCACUUUGACUCAAUUUCGAUGGACCAAAGCAAAUAUUCACCAAGUUUGGAUAAAGAAAUUACAUCAAGGAAUUAAUAACAUUCCUAGGCGACAAAGUUAAUAAACAUAACCUAAAGGCGACCGAUCUAUCUGGCCAAGUAUUUACAUGCUUAUUCAAAUUUAGAGCAGCCGAUAAUGUACCAUACGUGUAUUCUAAGUUUUGACGAACGUUGUCAGAAUGUGUAAAUCUGUGCAUGACAAAUUGAUGAUAUUUAUGUUCAAAACAAAUUGAUAAUUGUGCCUAAUGCUCUGAAAUAAUAGUAUAACAGUGAUAGAGCAAAAAAGCAAUAUGUCAGAGGGACAAAAAAAAAAAAAAAAAAGGAGGCUAGAGUAAAAGAUGGUUGAUUUACCAGGCAACGAUGACGGAAAACAUAGAUGUAGGUAGUGCAAACGGUGCAGAUAUUGGAGUGAGGGAUUCCAGGUCUCCGCCUUCCUCCUAUCUCCGGGUAUCCACUCAUUGAAGCCAUGCUGAUGCCACUCAUCUGGCUCAUGUCAUCAUACCCCAUGUUGUUGUGCAUCCCGCGUGUACUAUGACUAUAAGGGCGGGCAUGAUGAUAAUGAUGAGGAGGAGGUGUAGUCUGUCCAUGAACAUAAUGGUGGCUUCGAUGACCAUUUGCACCCUGAUGAUCACCAACCCCAGAAUUGUGCAAAUGAUUAGUAGUCAUUGGUGAAUUGUAUGUGUCUCGACUCUUUGAAAGAUGAUGGAUAUGGGGAAGGUGGUGGGAUUGAUAAUGAAUUUGAUGAUCGCAGCUGGCGGAAGCCUCUAGGCCUCGGCUAAAAUCCAAACUCGGUAUUUUUUUGAGAGGGGCUACUUCUUCUUUUCUUGGGCUGGCUUCAAUGAUGGAAUCCAAAGUGGGUGGUGCGUUAUUCUUGUCUAUUGAAGGGAGACCAUUUUGUUGCCUCACUUCAGCUAGGUCUUGAAAGGUGAGGUUAACUGAAUCAUCAGGGAUCCCUGAAUAUAACUCCUCCAGCUCUCUUUUUGCUUUUGCGAGCUUUGUCAAGUCUCCCAUUGUUUUCUUUUUGGAGAGGAAAAGAGUGUAGGGUUAGGAGGUAUGCGUUUUAGGUGUAGGGAUUUUUCCAAUGCAGGGGAAACGGUACUUAUAUGUAUAAUGCAAGUGCAGACGGCAGGAAAAAGCCAGGAUACCUGGCCGGUCGAGAAUUGCACUACCGGACAAGGGAUGACGAAGAGAUUUUUGAGAGUACAGGAAAGAUAUAUAUAUAUGCAUUUUUUUUUUCCUUCUAUCAGUCAUGUGCUGUUCUUUUUAGUUGGACUAAUUGCCUCAUUUGGGCUUUCGUCUUAAAAAUCAAUUGACGGUAAGUAUAGAUCUUGAUUAAUUCUUUUUUAGUUGGUUUUGGCUUAACUGAUGUGAGAUAGAUUAGGUUGUUUAACAAUGAUAAAGCAUCAUAAAAGAAACGUUGAAUUCCAGAGUAAAGGGGAUUUUUGAGAGUAGAGGGACUAUAUAGUGCGUGCAUUGUUAUCAUUUUACACUAGCUAGUACUGUAUAAGGAUUGCUUAAACAUCGAUGAUCGUUGCUAUUAGCAACCAUAAAAAUGUUUCGCAACCCUCUUUCCUCCAUCCCAAUGCAUCCUUCUGUCGGUAAUUAACCAUUUUAGACGAUACUCGGUUGGGAAUCAGGUGGGAGCCACUUGACUGGUUAAGUAGUAAAUCUGCUUAAUUACAUAAUAGUAAUAAUAAGGGAUAGUCAUUUAGCGAGUUAAUGGUUCGGGAUAACAUAUGGCCGUCCCUUAGGAUCCUUACAGGAUGAUGAUGGUGAUGAUGAAUAUUUUCAAUCUAGGCCGACUCUGACAGUUUUUUUUUUUUUUUGGUGAUUAUUUUAAGGUAUUAACAGAGAAAACUAGAAAAGCUGUGUGUUAGCCGAGCGUGCGCAGAGUUGAACUUCUCAACUCAACAAUGAUAGAAAUAAUGAAAUCAUCAUGUUAAGAUUGGAUGACCGGCAGGAAAAGACAAAGGGCUGGCCGGACUAUGAGAGGGCAACAAAUUCUUGCUGUCUUUGAUUGGGAGAAGAGAAGGUAUGGGUGGUUUAUGGAAAUGGCAUAAACGCGUUCGUUCAACCUAAUAAGGUAUAGUGAUCAACGAUGUAGGGCAACAACUAAUAAUAUAUAGUUUUAAGCAUAUGAGCUCAUGCUUGCAAUCCUCAGGACGUCAAUUCAACAUUUCACUUCUCCUGAGUCUAUUGGUCGGAUUCUUUCCAUUCAGCCUUUUGGCAAAUCCUACCAAGAUUAGCUUGUGCAAUGUAUCUUAUUAGUACCAAAUAAUCCGGAAUGAAAUAUCUUUGCGCGUCUGCCUUCUUUUUUCUUUUUUUUUUUUUGAGCCUUCCUUCCCCAGAGUCACAAUUAACCCGAGUUUUGGACUUCAGAUUCUGUUUUAUUGUCAAUUGGCAUCUGACUUCGGGUAGCAUUCCUUUUGUUUCUUCCCCAGGGAAACGAAACUUCUACCCAGCUAAUUCUCAUUCGUUGUUUGUCAGCAGAUUAGCAAUCGCCAGCAAAUUGUUCGACUCACGUGAACAUUUUUUUAUUAAAAAAAAAAAAAAAAAAAAAAAAAAGGGGAGAAGAAGAAACGGGAAGGUCCAAAAAACUCACUACUGUAUUCUUUGACGGUAAUGCUGUGUAUAUAAAACCUAACAAAAGGGUUAUGAGAUGUGCUACUGGCUACUGCUAUAUCAUUACAACCAAAAUCCAAAACUUAUAAAUAUCAAGAUAUAUAGCUCAGAUCUUUCAAAAAAAAAGAAGAAGAAGAUAUAUAGCUCAGCAAUUACUCAUCUUUUACCCUUUUUCUAUCAGAAACUACUCCUCUUUGCCC